GAUGAACGCUGGCGGCGUGCCUAAUACAUGCAAGUCGAGCGAACGGACGAGAAGCUUGCUUCUCUGAUGUUAGCGGCGGACGGGUGAGUAACACGUGGAUAACCUACCUAUAAGACUGGGAUAACUUCGGGAAACCGGAGCUAAUACCGGAUAAUAUUUUGAACCGCAUGGUUCAAAAGUGAAAGACGGUCUUGCUGUCACUUAUAGAUGGAUCCGCGCUGCAUUAGCUAGUUGGUAAGGUAACGGCUUACCAAGGCAACGAUGCAUAGCCGACCUGAGAGGGUGAUCGGCCACACUGGAACUGAGACACGGUCCAGACUCCUACGGGAGGCAGAAGUAGGGAAUCUUCCGCAGUGGGCGAAAGCCUGACGGAGCAACGCCGCGUGAGUGAUGAAGGUCUUCGGAUCGUAAAACUCUGUUAUUAGGGAAGAACAUAUGUGUAAGUAACUGUGCACAUCUUGACGGUACCUAAUCAGAAAGCCACGGCUAACUACGUG
rnacentral:rRNA from 1 species